rnacentral:rRNA from 1 species
CCCAAAAUUACUUGUUCAAGCAUUGUUUUCGAAUUUUUUCAUGCAUCAAAGCUCGUUAAGACUAGAUGGGGUAUCCCUACAUAGCGGGUGGGACCCACGGCGAAUGGUUCAUCAAGUCUUCAAAAAAGAAUAUAUACGAUUGCAUUGCAUAUACUAACGGAUGCGAUCAUACCAGCACUAAUGCACCGGAUCCCAUCAGAACUCCGCAGUUAAGCGUGCUUGGGCGAGAGUAGUACUAGGAUGGGUGACCUCCCGGGAAGUCCUCGUGUUGCAUCCCUCUUUUAUGUUUAACCUUUUUUUUUUUGGUUAAAACUUUAUGACUCCAUAACUUCUAGACAG